rnacentral:rRNA from 1 species
GACGUAGGGCGCGAGCGUUGUCCGGAUUUAUUGGGCGUAAAGAGCUCGUAGGCGGCCAGUUGCGUCUGCUGUGAAAUCCCGGGGCUCAACCCCGGGCGUGCAGUCGAUACGGGCAGGCUAGAGUUCGGCAGGGGGAGACUGGAAUUCCUGGUGUAGCGGUGAAAUGCGCAGAUAUCAGGAGGAACACCGGUGGCGAAGGCGGGUCUCUGGGCCGAUACUGACGUGAGGAGCGAAAGCGUGGGGAGCGAACAGG